rnacentral:rRNA from 1 species
AACGAACGCUGGCGGCAUGCCUAACACAUGCAAGUCGAACGAGACCUUCGGGUCUAGUGGCGCACGGGUGCGUAACGCGUGGGAACCUGCCCUUAGGUUCGGAAUAACUCCCCGAAAGGGGUGCUAAUACCGGAUAAUGUCUUCGGACCAAAGAUUUAUCGCCUUUGGAUGGGCCCGCGUUGGAUUAGCUAGUUGGUAGGGUAAAAGCCUACCAAGGCGACGAUCCAUAGCUGGUCUGAGAGGAUGAUCAGCCACACUGGGACUGAGACACGGCCCAGACUCCUACGGGAGGCAGCAGUGGGGAAUUUUGGAAAAGGGGCGAAAGCCUGAUCCAGCAAGGCCGGGGGGGUGAUGAAGGCCUUAGGGUUGAAAAGCUCUUUUACCCGGGAUGAUAAUGACAGUACCGGGAGAAUAAGCCCCGGCUAACUCCGU